rnacentral:rRNA from 1 species
AGUGAACGCUGGCGGUAGGCCUAACACAUGCAAGUCGAACGGCAGCACAGUAAGAGCUUGCUCUUACGGGUGGCGAGUGGCGGACAGGUGAGGAAUACAUCGGAAUCUACUUUUUCGUGGGGGAUAACGUAGGGAAACUUACGCUAAUACCGCAUACGACCUACGGGUGAAGGCAGGGGAUCUUCGGACCUUGCGCGAUUGAAUGAGCCGAUGUCGGAUUAGCUAGUUGGCGGGGUAAAGGCCCACCAAGGCGACGAUCCGUAGCUGGUCUGAGAGGAUGAUCAGCCACACUGGAACUGAGACACGGUCCAGACUCCUACGGGAGGCAGCAGUGGGGAAUAUUGGACAAUGGGCGCAAGCCUGAUCCAGCCAUACCGCGUGGGUGAAGAAGGCCUUCGGGUUGUAAAGCCCUUUUGUUGGGAAAGAAAAGCAGCAGGUUAAUACCCCGCUGUUCUGACGGUACCCAAAGAAUAAGCACCGGCUAACUUCGUG